AACGAACGCUGGCGGCAUGCCUAAUACAUGCAAGUCGAACGAUGCUUUCGGGCAUAGUGGCGCACGGGUGCGUAACGCGUGGGAAUCUGCCCUUGGGUUCGGAAUAACUUCGGGAAACUGAAGCUAAUACCGGAUGAUGACGUAAGUCCAAAGAUUUAUCGCCCAGGGAUGAGCCCGCGUAGGAUUAGCUAGUUGGUGGGGUAAAGGCCUACCAAGGCGACGAUCCUUAGCUGGUCUGAGAGGAUGAUCAGCCACACUGGGACUGAGACACGGCCCAGACUCCUACGGGAGGCAGCAGUAGGGAAUAUUGGACAAUGGGCGAAAGCCUGAUCCAGCAAUGCCGCGUGAGUGAUGAAGGCCUUAGGGUUGUAAAGCUCUUUUACCCGGGAUGAUAAUGACAGUACCGGGAGAAUAAGCUCCGGCUAACUCCGUGCCAGCCGCCGCAGUAA
rnacentral:rRNA from 1 species